UCGAGAAUUUUUCACAAUGGGGGAAACCCUGAUGGAGCGACGCCGCGUGGGGGAUGAAUGGCUUCGGCCCGUAAACCCCUGUCAUCUGGGAGCAAACCUCCGACCCGAACACGGUCGGAGUUGAUAGUACCAGAAGAGGAAGGGACGGCUAACUCUGUGCCAGCAGCCGCGGUAAUACAGAGGUCCCAAGCGUUGUUCGGAUUCACUGGGCGUAAAGGGUGCGUAGGCGGUCGGUUAAGUCUGAUGUGAA
rnacentral:rRNA from 1 species